AUUGGGAAUUGUGGUCUUCCAUAAGAUAAAGAAAAGAAAAGAAAAAAAAAAUUAAAACACAAAUCUUCUUCUUCAAAAAAACGUCACUCUCUCUCUCCCACACCAAAACCACCAUGAAAGCUCAUUUUUGAGCUUGAAGAACCAAAAUCCAACCAUGGCCAAUUGUCCUACCAUAACUAGAUGUUGUUUGGACAACUAGGAAAGAGGAUUCAAAGAAAAGAAAGAAGAAAAAUUUGAAGAAAAGGGAGAAGAAAUUCUGCACACAAGUUGAAAAGAAUAUCGGGAAGGAACCCGAGGAAACGAGUCGAGGCUAAGGGACGACUCGCUUGAGAUAAAAGCAAGGAGAAAGCAGCAGAGUGAGCUGCGGAAUUGACAAGAUCUUUUUGAUCCCUUUUUGUACGGGUAUUAUUUUAUACCCUUAUGGUUAUUUUGAUGUAAAUACUGUAAUGUCAUAAGUAUCAAUGUAAAUUGAGCAGUUGUAAAUAAACUAUAAUAAUAUUAUUUUAGAUUUUCUUCUGUAAAUUUAAUAUUUGUACAUAUGGAUUUUCUGCCUUA